AACAUGGUAUCCCAGUUCAUUUUUUGUUGCAGUCAAUUAGGUGUGCGUAUAAUUUUGUUCUAAUCACUCUUGUAGUUGUUCAUCAUGCAUGAAAGAUAACUUUUAAAUAAAAAUUACACAUCCUGUUUCAGACUUUUGGAUGAGAAAUAUGAGGACUGUGGAAAGACCAUCAAUGGUGGAGGAUAAGAAGCAUGGAAUAUUCUGUUUCCUUCAUCUCUAAUUUCUCUUUGGAUGAGAAAUAUGAGGAAUGUGGAAAGCUUAAGUGGUCUUCGCAGCCAUCUCUCCUCUCUCAAACGGCUAUCCUUUAUAGGUUAUCGGUACUUGCAUGAGAAGAUUUCUCUCCAAUGUCUAAUUUUUAUUCUUCAGGUAAUGGUUCAUACUUCUUUCUUCCACACACAUCAGUUAGCUACUGCUGCUGCUGCUCCAGGAUCCAUUUCUAUUACGAAUCCUCAACAUGAUGCUAAAAGUUCAUGUUUUUCCAUGGACAAGCUUCUCAUUAUUUGCCACAAACGAGCUAGACAUUUGGGUUGCUCUGUUUUGUUUGAUAAUGGAGCACACAAUGAAAUGGUUAUAAUGGUAACGAGGUACAGCUAGUUCGCCAUAGUUUCAUACGAGUCGCUAUUCCUCAAAACAAAUAAUACUUACAUGGACUUGCUCAUAGUGCCGGAAUUGUGAUGCGUGGAUAUGCCUGUCUGGAUUGAUGAGAUGUCAUGAACUUCGUUUGAUGCCCAACUAUUGCUUAUCUUUCCACUUAUGGAAUUGCACCCUGCUUUGCAUGAGAACCAUGAGGAAUUGUUGCUCUUAUAUUGAUAUUUUUCUGCAAUUUCAGCAUUUGUUAUGUUUUCUCUUCCAAUUUUUUUUUUUAUGCCCUAGCUCAGUGACCUGAAUUCUCUCAAUUGUGCUUGUUUUGCAAAAUAUCCUCACUGUCAUCUUUAUUUGGCAGAAUCUCUCAGGAGGAUCAAAUGCAAACACUGUAGAGGGAGACCAAUGAUGUGCUUAUGUUCAUCUUUUGCAACUUGACAAAAGAAAAGGCUAUUUAUUUUGGUAGGUGUAGUGAUAUGCUCUAAACUGCUUUAGACUUGCUCCAAAAGAUUAAUCUGUAUCAUUAUGUCAAUUAUCGAGGUCUAUAAUCCAAGUCAGAUGAAGGAGGUUUCUCUAUAAUCCAAGUCGAUGGAGGAGGUUUCUUACUUCCAACCACAGCAACCAUUGUGACGAUGCAAAAAAUUAGGAUUUAAAACAGGUAUUUUCGAGUUGUGAAUAUGGUAAUUAAAUUGAAUGAAUCUACUAAUUAUCAUCCAUUUAAAUCUGAUUUCCUUGUCGAAGUUCAUAGUUCAUCUUUCUUCUAUUCAAAUUCCCGCACUAGCUCAGAGCACAUUUUCUUCUUCUUUGUUGUCAAGGAAAGGCGGAGAGGAGCAAUCAGGGAGACUAUGCUUUGGCGCUCUGUUAAUUCAAUAUGAAAGCCUUGUGUUUGCCAUGAUGUAUUUUGAUUUAAGCUUGCGAGAAGAUGGCCAUCCAAGACCAUUCGCAACCCAAUUAUCUUGGGUAGGCAAGUCUUGUCACUAUAACCCCACCAAAGCUGCCAGAGCUCCCGUCACGGACAAGGCAAGAUGCAGACACCGUCAUCGUUAGUGGGUUAUCCUCACGACCUCGUGUAGAGUAUCAGUUUGUACCAUUAGGCCACAAUCACUGGUGAUUAGCUAUCCCCCAUAGUUCUGUAUUAGCAGAAUCACAAGGGCCAUUCGGAAAAUACAAACUAACCAUAACAAUCAAUCACAUUUUUUAGACUUGGUUUGUGAAGUACCAUGUUAUGUCUUGUUGAUUUUUGGUUGCAGUCGGUUAAGUAUGUGGUUGACUAUGUGUAUAAUUUGUCUGUCUGAUUACUCUUGUAAUUGUUUAUUUCGCAUGACAAAGUAAUUUUUACUGUGGGCUACUUGAUUUUCUCAUCCCAUAAUUCAUUUUUUUGUUCCCAUUUUUUUAUCUCACAUGCCAUAUAUCUAUCUCUUGGUUAAACUUGAAGAGUCCGAUAUAGUGACUUCAGUUGAGAUAAUUAUAAUGACGAUUGCGGUCGGCAAAAAUUGAGGCAUUAAAGAAAAUGUCUAAGGCCAUAGUGAGAUGAACUCCUACUAACGUGAAAAAAGUGUUACUCUUUCCAUUUUUCAAUCCGUUUCGCUUAUUAUGUAAUUAAUAAGCAAUCUUUCUCAACAAUUUGUAAGAAUUUUAGAUGUCUUCAAAGUACUUAUCUUCUAGUCAACCCAAGUUAGUUGCCUUUAUACGAAGUGUUAUGAAUCUUCUUGUUUUUUUCUUUACAAUAUAUAUUGAUAUUUUAUAUGACUAAGUUAAAUAAUGAAUGUUUUGGGAAUGCUUACAUAUAUGUGGCCAAUGAUUUAGAUUGGUUGAUUUUCCCAACAACACUGUAUGAUAUACUAAUAUAUGGAUGUAAAUCAACUAUAUAAGCAGAAUCAUAAGUCAAGGAUAUCAUUUGCUAAGGUUAAAAUAACUUUUGAGCAAUUUUCCCCUUGUCCGAAGAAAAAAAAAAGGAAAAUGGAAAAUGGCUUUAGCGAAACUUCAACAUAAAAGCCAUCCAUUGCUAUCAACUGAUCUUAAUAAUUUUUUACCAAAAAAAAAAUCUUAAUAUUUGAAGCAGGCUACAAAUAAGGAAAAUUUGAUAAUAUCGACAUUUUGCAUGUGAAGCGAUGUUGAUGCCUCAUAACUUAUAUCAUUCCCUUAAUAGAGUUCCUAGUUUAAUACCAAAGAGAAGCAGGAAAAAAAAGAGUACUUAGUUAGUUCCCUGAAACAUGUCCCUUCUUAAAAUUUUGUAGUAUGAAAUAAAAAUUCAAAUUUUAAAAGAAUAGGAAGAUUUUACGGAUAGAUUUUUGAAAUGUUUUAGGUGUUCUUAGUGUUAAAUGCAAAUUCAACCUGAUUUUGAUAAUUGUAAUACAAUUAAGCCCUAACACCACCCUUCAAAGGCAGUGAAUGGGCCGCCGUUAGCAGGUCCAAACUCCUGGGCCUUAAUCCCAAAAUGGAUCGGAUUGCACUUAGACUUGACAUGCAAUUCGGGUGAUAAGGUAAAAAAAAAAAAUUGUUCAGCUGGGACAACACUCGCUAUUUGUAGAACCAUUGAAUGGGGAGCCUAGACGGACCAAGUCGGAUAUCGACCAUCAGAAUUCUUACUUGGCCCGGCCUAUCAUUUUGUAAACUAUUAUACUUUCUUACCAUAAACAACAGCGUCGGGGCAAGUGCCCAAGAACAAAGAUGCUUGCCCAGACUCAUUCAAGUCUUGCAUUCAUCAAAUAGUAAAACCACGUUGGUCAAGUCUUGGUAGCUCCAGGGUCUAAGAGAAGAGUCAUUGCCCUCAACCUUGCACAGCUGCUUUUCCUUAUAUUUGAGCUAAGUUGAGCCAAGCUCGAUGGGCAAUUCUUUUUUCGCUCUAGAGCCGACUCAAAUGAAUAAGUAUGCUUCACAUUCAAAUACAAUGUGGGCUGUUCGAAAUAUUUAGUUUCAUCUGAAAAAAAGUAAAAUAAUAGAUAAUAUGCUUGAUAUUAACGUGGUUACUUUUCGCAUGAGCUCGAAAUUUAUGGCCUAAUUAUGUGUGAAAACCCAUAGUCAGUUAUGGAGAACAAUGAUUUAUUACAACGGCUCUCUUUAGCUUUAGUUAGUGACAGGUUUUGUAAUCUUUAUAAUUCCCUCUCCUUCCUAAUUCUAGAGUGAUAAAGAUGAGUCGUCGUCAUCACCUGACAACAAUUUAUGGGACCGUGCGGUGAGUCGACCAAAAGAAUCUCAGCAGCCAUGGAAACCCUUAGAAGACAUAACCUUUGAUGUUCGCUGUUUAUGCGUGCAUUUGCUAUGUCAAUUUACGUUGAAGAUAUACACGGUUUCUGGUACGGAUGACGUACGUAUGAUGUUAUAUACAAGUUUUUGAGGAGCAAAAAUAAGCACAGUGAGGUGGCCAUGUACGGUGUUUUAUGGGUAGUGAUUUCUCCUCAAAUCACCAUCGUUUCCAGCCUUGAACAUAAUAAGGGUGUCUUCUGGUCGCUUUUGUUCACAUGGGGAACGUGAGGAUUUCAAUCUCAUUUCGGUAGUGUUUUCGUCAUGUGAACAUAUAGAAAGAUGUCGCAUGGAUGUUACAUCUUUUUCCAUCAAUUUGAUGGGGGCGAUUCAAGGCUUGAAACACAAAAUUGAUAUUAUUCCAUAUUGCGCAGAUUCAAGUCAAGUAAAGCCAUUAGUUGUCUGGUGUUACUUAAGCGUUCUCAGACCUCCUCAGCAUGUAUAUCCUCCAUGUAGGUGACACUUUGGAUUCAUUAUGAUUUUAUAUUGGAUUAUCACAUUCUUAUGCCUGAGGCGUGCUUAAUUUGUCCUAGUAGCUUGCUGUCCGUAUGUAUUUGUGCAGUGAAUGAGUGACAGUCUUAUCUGGUGAUUUACAGUUAAAAGUUACUGCAUUUUGAGCCUUCCAGAUAUACCAACAGAUGUAGGCAUUCAUUCUUAAGAGUUAUCAGCCUGUACCAACUCAUGACCUCACAUUUGUAGAAUAUCAAGCCCGAACCAAUAAGCCACCAUCGCCAGUGAUUAGUGGUCUCCCAUAAGUGUGGGCUAACAUAAUCAUAAGAAUUAUUCGGCGAAAACAAAUUCAUCCAGAGGGUCACUUAUUUCUGAGAAUAGGAAAGUGAAGGGUCCAGUUUCUUGUCUUGUUUAUUCAUUUUUUUUUUCUGUUGCUGUCGGGUGGGUAUGCAUAUAAUUCUUUUUGUCUAAUCACUCUCAUUGUUUGUUCCUUAUGCAAGAAAGUAAUUUUUGUUGUUCAGGACUAAUUAAUCGUCCUGUUCCAGGAUUUUGGAUAAGACAUAUGAAAAAUGUGGAAGGACCAUCAACGGUGGAGGACAUAAGAUGCGUGGAGUCUCCUGUUCUCUUCCUCUCUAGUCUUUCCUUAGAUGAGAAAUAUAAAGAAGGUGGAAAGACAAUCAAGUAAUCUUCAUAGGCAUCUCUCCUCAUUUAAACCGUUAUAUUCUAUACGUUGCCAGAAGUUGAGGGACUUGACAGAGGAUGGCUUCCCUCCCUCCUUCCAUGUAUUCAGCAUAACUUGAUGUGAGAUUCUGAUAAGAUCGGUGCUCAAAACUCCGUGGUGACUAUUGGCACCUCAUCCAAGCAAUCCCACUCCUAGUAAUUGAUUGAGUUCGGAUUCAAUAGGAAGAUUUCUCUCCAAUGUCUAAUUUUUGUUCUUCAGGUAACGAUUCAGAUUUCUUUCAGACCUCUUUCUUUCUUGCAAACUUGUUGUUUAGCUAUUGCUGCUGCUCCAGGAUCCAUUUCUAUUCCGAAUCCUCAAUCCGAUGGUAAAAAGUUCAUGUUUUUCCAUGGACAAGCUUCACCAAAACUUCCACAGACCAACUCCUGAAUGUCCAACGUUGACAAUUGGGUUGCUAUGUUUUGUUUGACAAGGAAGUACGCAAUAAAAUGGUUAAAAUGCUAAAGUGGUACAGCAAGUCAACCAUUGUUUCAUAAAAGUGACUAUUCCUCAAAACAAAUAAUGCUUACAUGGACUUGCUCACUGUGCUGGAAUUACGAUGCAUGGAUGUACCUGUCUUUAUUGAUGAUAUAUCUUGAACUUUGUUUGAUGCCCAAAAGUUGCUCAUCUUUCCACUUAUGGAAAUGCACUAUGCUUUGUGAGGAUCGUGAAGAGUGGUUGCUCUUAUAUUGAUUUUUUUCUGCAAUUUCAGUGCUUCUUGUACGUUCUCUUCCUAACAUCUUUUUCUUAUGCCCCAGAUGAGUGACCUGUAUGCUCAACUGUGGUUGUUUUGCAGAGUAUCCCGCUAACAUUUGUAUUUGGCAAAGUCUCUCGGGAGGAGCAAAUGCAAAUACUGUUGAGGUAGGCGACACGUGCUUAUGUUCAUCUUUUGCCACUGGGCAAAAGCAAAACAAAAAGCUAUAAAUUUAGGUAGGUGUACUAAUAUGCUCGUACUUUUUUUGCGACAUGCCUAAAGUUUAAUUUGUAUCACGAGGUCUACAUUCAAAGUCAAAUUAAGAAGCUUUCUUACUUCUAACAAUAGCAGCUACUUUAAAGACGCAAAAAUAGGAUUUAAAACAGUGAUUUUCGAGUUGGAGAAUAUGACAACUAACUUUGAAUCAACCCUUCAAUUUACAUCCAUUUAAAUGUGACUUCAGUGUCAGAGUUCACAGUUCAUCUUUCUUCUAUUUAAAUUUCCACAACAUCUUACACCCACAAAAAAAAAAAAAAAAAAAGAAUCCCACGCCAUCUCAUGUAACAUUUUCUUUUUCUUUGUUGUAAAGGGAAGGUGGAGAUGAGCUAUCAAGGAGACUAUGCUCUGUUACUCUAUUGAGUGAUUGCAAAAGUUCCACGCCAUCUCAUGUAAAUUUGAAAAGACACAUGAAAAUCUAGAAAUAAUUCUAAUAGACAAGUGCAAGAGAGAUUACUAAAUGAAAAAUCACAGUAAAAAAUGAGCAUCAAAAGAGGCGGACGAAAAUUAUAGUAAUAUUCAAUUUUAAGCAUGGCAUGUAACACGUGGGGAAAUUCUACUAGUAAUAGAAAAACAUAGGCAUUCGCAUAGGGAUUGAAGAGGAGGAUGUAAGAAGUGAAGCAACAAUGCCAAUUUGCGUUAUGCAAAAUCUUUGUCUUCUCCAUUUGCUCUCUUUCGCCUCUAUUUCACUUUCUAGACAAAAAGUACAUGAUGUUCAGUAAAGUCUUGGUCUUCCUGAAUUUAUGGUUUAUUCACAUGAUAAGAGCAUUUGUGGAUAGAAAGCAUUCUUGGAAGUCUUGGUCUUUGCUUACACUUUUUGGUAGGUGAAAGUGUGGUCUUCUUGGACUUUAUAGUUCUCUCUCCAUUAGAUCAUUAUCACUCGGCUUCACCAUUAGUCCCCCUGCUUAAGUAGUGUUCUCCUCCUGCUCGUCCAAACCUAGCACUCGUGCUUGUUGGAUUGCUGUCAUUGAGCUAAUCCCAUUCGUCAGUCUGCUCCAGGAGGUCUACUCGAAACAGGUAAGAGACAUCUAUCUUUUUUUUUGGUUGAAAGAGACAUCUAUCUACUUGCUCUAUUUUCCCUCGAACUGAUGCACCCGGAACUUCACUACCGGAAGCAUCUAGUGGGCAUUUAUUACACGAGAGCAACCAUCUAUUCUUUCCAAAAUCUUUCUAUUAAUGGAGGCAAAAGCAUUAUUUUGAGCAAAAGAAGAGGCGACAGCAGCAGCAGCAGCAGCAAUAUUUUGGUUCUUAAACCGGUUUCCUGCCUAUCUAUAAUCCUAAUUAAAGUUGAUGUCAAGUUUAUUAACAAAAAAAUGUCAUUAUAAUUUUUGUUAGAUAGUAAGAUUAGGACAUUAAGAUUAAUUUCCUCUCUCUAUCACUGUUCUUUUUACUAAACACACACUGAUGUGAAAUGAUUUUACACGAUUAGCAGCAUUGAGAUCAAAGUAUGCAUUUAUAAUUGAAUUGGAACUUUUAUCCUGCUUGCAGAGUAAUUAUUUUACAGCGUCAAUGUUUUGGAAUGUUAGUCCAUGAAAUUGGGUAAGCAAGAAUCAAUAUCAUAAGAGGAUAGCUUCAUUCCUCUUCAGUAGAGAUUAAGGGGAAAGUCGCGUUUGUCAUAAUUUCGCAGUGCCAAACAAAAUAAAUUACUUUUUUGUUGUGUCUUUUCACAUAUUUGCUCUCACAACAAAAAGUCCUUAUUAUAUAGAUUUAGUGAACUUACCAUCAACUGGAAGGGGUAAGAUGAAUUAGUAAGGUAUUUGAGAUUUAAUAUUCUUUUGAGGUGUGCCAGUGUAAUCAAUCAAGUAAAGUCAAUACGGUUGCAAUUUAAACUUCACGUGAAGUAGCUUCUGCCGAAGCCCUAAGGGUGUUAGGUGUGGACAACUAAUUUUUAUCGUGCGGAUAUCGAUGAUGGUUCAGUGCAAGAAUACUAAUUCAUGUAUUUUCUUUCAAGACACAGAAAAAUGUGCAAUUGCUCAUGAUAAAUAAUUAAAUUUUGAAUAAUGAAAAAUCAAAAUUGUGCUCUGUUAGAAAAAGACCACGCAAGAACUCGUGUAUUGUUAGAAAACUCGGCAUUUCUACAUAAGAAAAGUUCUUGAGAUUGUUUUUUUUGGUAAGAAAGUUCUUGAGAUUGUUCAUCUUUUAUAAUGUGAAAAAAGAUGAAUGAGAAGUAAAUGUUCAUCAUUGUGCAUGCCCCCAAGGAAAAAGUAAAAGAUAUGAUAGAGAAAACGGAAUGGGGAAAAGAAUAUAGUGUCACCACCUAAAAGAAGUGAAAUGCUCGCACCACAAAAAAGAAGUGGAAUGCAUUUCCUUAUUUAUUGAACAAACAAAGUUAGCCGCUUUUGAUGUCUUUACAUGGUCGUCCACAUUGAAGGAGAAAUCUAUAAUCAUCUUAUAUCUUAAACAAAUGUGAGCUUUUAGCACUGCAACCGCCAUAUAAAAAUCUACAUUGAUCUCAUAUUCACAAUAAAGCAUAAAACAAAGAUAUUAAAAUAAUAAAUAUACUAAUAAUAUACGGAUGUGAAAAAAGCACUCAAACAUUUAAACAAAGGGAGAAUUACCAAAAAAAAUCCUAAACCUAUUGCAAUUGUAUCAAUUCAGUCCUAAACUUUUUUUUUUUUUUGCCAAUUUAGUCCUAAACCUUUUACAAUUGUGCCAAUUCAGUCCAUUCGGCCAAAAUUGGCCGGCCGGUGCUGACGUGGACGCCGGCCGAAGACAGCUGGCCAACGAACGCUGAUGUGGCAAUUUUUAAUUUUUUUUCGAUUUUUUUCUUUUUUUCUUUUUUUCUCCUUCCUUUGGUCGGCCGGCGUCGGCCAGAGGCGAGACCUCACCGGCCACUGGUGGAGGCGGGCCUCGCCCAGCGACAGCGAGGCGGCCGUCACCAGAUCGCCUCGCCAACCACGAGCGAGGUCGACCCAAUCCUCGCCAGUGGCCGGCGAGGGGGCCGUAGCUAGAUCUGGCGAGUCUCCACCUUGCCAUGGCUAGGCAAGGUCAAGCCUUGCCAGAUUUGGCGACCACGGCCUCGCCGUCGCUAGGCGAGCUUGGCCCUCCCCGGCCACCGGCGAGGGUGAGGCCCCGCCGAAUUGUGUGGUGUAGUCGAGGAAUCCGCAGAGGAGCUCGAUCUCGUCCUCGUCAGUCCAGAGGCGCUGGAACAAGGGCUUGGCGACGGUCACGACUGGGGAGGGCCACUUGAGCUCAGAGGGGGAGAUUGUGCCGACGAUCGGGGGGAUGGGGGAGGCGGCGGGGGUGGCAAUGGCAACGGCAGCCUCGCCAUAUCUGGCGGGGCCUUGCCCUCGCUAGUGGCCGGCGAGGGCCAAGCUCGCUGGAUUUGGUGGGGCCUCGCCCUCGCCAGUGGUCGGUGAGGUUGUCCUCACCCGCCUUCGCCUCCGGCCGGCGAGGGCGAGCCUCGCUGGCCAGAGGAAGGAGAAGAAGGGGAAAAAAAAAGAAAAAAAAUUCAAAAAUUCAAAAAAAAAAAAAUCAAAAAAUACUUUUUUUUUAAGUACUAAAAAUUGCUACAUUAGCGUUUGUCGGCUAGCUGUCCUCGGCCGGCGUCCACAUCAGCGUCGGCCGGCCAAUUUUGGCCGGAUGGACUGUAUUGGCACAAUUGUAAAAGGUUUAAGACUAAAUUGGCCAAAGAAAAAAGUUUGGACUGAAUUGGUACAAUUGCAAUAGGUUUAGGACUUUUUUUGGUAAUUCUCCCUUUAAACAGAGGAUAAAAGGUGAUUUUUCUCCAACAAAACACUCAAGCAUUGGAUUUUUUUACGAAAAUAUGCAUGUGCUCUAAGUUUAUGGAGAAAAAUAACCUUUUAUCCUUUGUUUGAAUGCUCAUAAGAAAAGUCUUGAUUAGAAGAAAAAGAGAAGAAUUGAUGAAACAACACUCUAGUGGACAUAAACUAUUUUACUUUGAUUUGUCUAACCUUUGCUAUGCAUCCCUUAAAGACUUGAUCUUUUUUAAUCUAAUUGGUAUGUGAACAUCCUGGUAUUCCCAUACUUCAUUGUUUUCUCUCUCCAAUAGCUCAUUGUUACUUUGCUUCACCAUAACACCUUUGAUGUUCUCGACAGUGACCGAUUCACCCAUGGCCAUUGGAGAGAUCGUUUUGGGUUCCUUCUUGGCUUCCUUCAUUCAGGUUCUAUUCGACAAGUUGUCUUCUCUCACAUUGGGCUAUGCGCAACGAGAAGGAUUCAAUGCUGCCUUGCUUGAGGAGUGGAAGGGAAUGUUUUUGACAAUCAAUGCAGUGCUAGUUGAUGCAGAGGACAAGCAACUCAGCAAUAAUCCUCUAGUGAAGCUAUGGCUGGACGAUGUUAGGGACUUAACCUAUGACAUCGAAGACUUGCUUGAUGAGUUGGCGAUCAAAAUCACUCAAGUGGAGUCGAAGGCAAAAUCCAGCACAAGCAAAGGUCUAGAGAAAUGCAAGUCCUCUUUCUUUGGCCGAGAUAAAUUCUCCGGAUUGAAUCCAAACUUGCACUCACUUGUGUCGGAAACCAAGGUACAAGAGAUCAAUGGCAGGUUGAAAGCAAUUGUCACUAGGAAGGCUCAUCUAAGCUUGAGAGAGAAUGUUAUGGACAAAUCCAACCACGCCAACAAAAGGGAUCCCACCACUUCUUUGUCGGAGCCUCAGUUUUUGCGUAGGGAGAAGGAAGAAGCACAGAUAAUUGAACUAUUCAUAAGUGAGGUAGAAAAUUCCAAUGCCACGCUAAGCAUAGUCCCCAUAGUUGGGAUGGGCGGCAUUGGAAAGAUAGCCUUGGCUCAACGAGUAUAUAAUGAUGCCAAAGUGAAUAGUUGUUUUGAGAAAAGAGCAUGGGUUUGUGUCUCAGAUGUUUUUGAUGUCCUUGACAUAACAAAGACUAUAUUGCAGUCGAUCACCGGGUUGUCCAACGAGGGUGAAGAUCUUAACAAGCUUCAAGUUAAGUUGAAGGAUAGUCUAUCUGGGAAGAAGUUUCUUGUGGUUUUAGAUGAUAUAUGGAAUGAAAAAUAUGAAAAAUGGACUGCCCUCUUAAAGCCAUUUGAAGCGGGGGCUAAGGGAAGCAAGAUCAUCAUUACAACUCGCAACCUUCAUGUUGCCUCUAUAACAAGAGCUCCGCCAUAUCCUUUGAGAGAAUUGUCCUUUGAUAAUUGUGUAAGCUUAUUAGCCUUUCAUGCUCUUGGAGCAACAAAUUUUGAGAGCCACCCAGCUUUUAAAAUAAUAGGCAAGAAAAUAGCUGAAAGAUGUAAAGGUUUACCUUUGGCGGCAAAGAUGUUGGGCGGUGUCCUACGUACUAAACUUAAUCCUGAUGAAUGGCAAGAUACCUUAAAUAACAAAAUAUGGGAUCGUCCGACAGCAGAGAAUGAUGAGGUUCUCCCAGUUUUAAAAUUGAGCUAUGUCUGUCACGCCCCGAUCCUCGGGCACACACACAUCCUUCUCAUUCUGGUCGAUUUUAUAAUGCGAUAUCCCAGGACAAUGUAUCGCCGACCCUUUCAUUUAUUAAGCACAUGCGGAAGCAGUUAAAAUCCCCAGACAAUAAAACAAUGGGAUAGAAAAGCAGGGCCAUAUUUUUCAUAUUGAAAUUUAUAACCAAACUUUUACACAAAACACAAACCAGAGUACUUCACAACUUUUUACUCUAUUUCUAUUCACAUCAAAUUAGAGAUCUCAAAAGAAGAUAGAAUCUCAGUCCAUCCGGAUCAUAUUUGAGACUCCUCUCAGUAUUAUCUUCUUCUUUCAAAAAUCCUUCUCCUCAAGUUUCACCUCCGAGUUCUCCUUCUCAGACUCCUCCUCAUCAGCUCCUCAUCGGGAUCCUGAAAUGUUUUUCCCCAAACUGGGAUGAGACUAUGUCUCAGCGAGUUCUACCCCACUAAGCCCGAUUAGUAAACCAUUAUACUAUAGGCUGCCUAUACACGCACAGGGUAGAAGACGUACCUUGGCAUCAGAUCCCACCUGCAAGUCAGUACAAUUCAUAAUAGGCACCCAGGCAAUCAUAUCACCGAUCGAAGCAUUGAUCAAAUCGACCUAGUCGAUUACAAGCCAACAAGACCACUCACGGUCAUUCCCAUUCAGUCAAUUAAUUCACGACGUCAAAUCAAAGCAAUGAUCAAUCAACCUAGUCGAUUACAUGUCAUCACGACCCAUGCUCGAUCGGCAUAUUCAAUACUAUCUAUAAAGUCCUAUCAAAUCAGGACUGCUCACCCAAAGCUGAUAAAUAGAUAGCAUAGCUCGCCCAAAGCUGAUAAUAAGGUAUACUGCUCACCUAAAGCUGGCAUAUCGCCCGAAGGCCGAUAUAGUAUACCGGUAUAUUGCUCACCCAAAGCUGACAUAUCGCCCGAAGGCCGAUAUAGUAUACCAUAUGCUCACCCAAAGCUGAUAAUAUAUUGCUCGCCCAAAGCUGAUAAUAAGGUAAACUGUUCACCCAAAGCUGACAUAUCGCCCGAAGGCCGAUAUAGUAUACCGGUCUACUGCUCACCCAAAGCUGACAUAUCGCCCGAAGGCCGAUAUAGUAUACCAUAUCCACCGUCCAAUAUUCUCAUUAUUUUUAUCAUGCCCGAUAAAAUAGUCGUGUGGAUACACGAUCGGCUUUAGCCAAAAUAUUAUAAUUUCCUUUUUCAUAAUUCCCACCAUUCUCUAUAGCCCACCAAAACACUUUUGGUGCUGUCAAUCGACACCCGGUUAUUUUCCAAUUAAUAAUCAAAGAUUAUUCCAUUAAAGGAUAAUUCUCAAUUUCACAAAUAAUUCAAUUCAACACAAACUACAACUCGAUUAAAUAAACGAACUGCGCCAUGACAAUCGACACGAAAUUUCGGUUGUCGGCCAUCUCAAUCUUAAUUUCUGAAAAAUAAUUAAUUAAUUAAUUAAUUUCGAAAAUUAAUUAUUAAAUCUUAAAAAAUCCAUUUAGCUCAAAAUAAGGCCCAAUUAAAUAAACGGACUGCACCACGGUCAUCAGCAUAAUAUUCCGGUCACGGGCCAUCCCAGUUGAAUUUUCGGAAAAUAAAUAAAUAAUUAAUUAAUUUCGAAAAUUAAAUAAUUAAUAUUAAAAAUUCAAUUUAGCUCAAAAUAAAGCCCGAUGAAAUAAACAGACUUCACCACAGUCAUCAGCAUAAUAUUCCGGUCACGGGCCAUCCCAGUUGAAUUUUCGGAAAAUAAAUAAUUAUUUAAUUUAAUUCCGAAAAUUAAUAUUUAAAUGCCCAAAAAUCUCACUUAGGCCCGAAUCGCCAAAUUGAAGCCCGAUUAGGGGUCGGAAAAUUCCCGAGAUGCUUCCAAUAAAUAGUAGACCACGUCUACUUGUUAAUUGCGCAAUCAAUUUAUCUAAAUCGCAUCACAAUUAACUAAUAAUUGCUAAUUUAUUCUAAUCUAACAACCUAAACAUAAUUAAUUAAAACUAAACCAACCUUAAGCAUAAUUAGCCAAAUAAUCCAGGAUUAGUGAGAUUACUCACCAAAUCGCGCGCAAAUUGGAUCAAUCCGACGCGGCGGCGCGAGGAACGAAACUUCCCAAAGCACGGCUCGGUUCGGGCCCGGAAACGGCCCAAAACGAGCCUUGAACAGGGCUGGAAACCCAUUUUUCCAGCCACUGUUUUUGGCUGGACGAAGCUCGUCCGGCGGCUAGGGCGGCGAGGGGAGGCCGGCGGAGGGCGAGGGGAACGCCGGGGAGGUCCGGCGAAGCUGCGCGGUGGCCGGAGGAGAUUGGGCGGUGGCUGUAGGUGGCCGAUCCGCGGCCUGAGCUGGUCGAACAGCUCCCUGGGCGCAUGAGUAGAGACCAACAGCGCACGGCCAGUAGCGGCACGGGAGGACGGCAACUCGGCAGUGAACGGCGGAGGGCGGUGGCGUCGCGUACGUCGCUAGCUGUUCCGGUGUUCAUCCCAAAUCUGUUGGGACCUCGAGUAGUGCCAAGGAGAAGAAGAAAUCGACACCAGCAGAAGGGGAAGAGGAAGGCGGAGGGCGUUCGAGCGGCGGCAGAGCACGCGGGCAACGCGCGGGCGGCGACGAUGCUCCGGCGCGACGGCGAGCUGCUGUCUUCGUUUCUGCUUCUGCUCGUUGGGCACACGGAGAGGGAGAAGAAGAGAGAUGUCGAGAGAGUGAGGGAGUCCAGAGAGAGAGAGAGUUAGAGAUAAGAGAGAGUGAGGGUUUGAAAAGUCAAAAGUGAAAAGGUGGAGAAAGCCAAGUUGAAGACAGCCGUGUAUUCGGCGGGAAGGGGGCAUUUCGCACGAGGGGGAAAAAGAGAGAAGGAGAGAGAAAGAAGGAAAGAGAAACUUGUGGGAAAGUUAGGUGUUUGGUCAAAUGGGGUAAAAAGAAAUGGGAAUCAAUUCAAAAGAAAAUAAUUCCCUCAAAUAGAAAAUUCUUAAUUCAUUUUUUUCUUUUGAAUAAGCUGGUUGAUUCCCAAAAGAAAUUUCAGAUUAUAGAACUCGGUUCCCACUUGCAUUUCUGGAUCCAUUUUCCCUCUUUAAUUUCUCUCAAAUGACUCUCAUAAAAUCAAUUGAUGUCUCACUUAUCAAAUUGAUUAUUUUCCUCAUCCAAGAAUUCCCUCAUGCUUCUCAAUUUCACAAUCUCCGGCUUCAACUAAACGAAAACGGCCAUAUUUAUCCAGUGAAAAUUAAAACCCGAAAAUCUGGAUGUCACAACUCUUCCCCUCUUAUAAAAAUUUCGUCCUCGAAAUUUAAACCUUUAUCAGUCCUUAAACGAAAGGUGGGAGUAUUGUCGUCUCAUCGGGUCUCACUUUUUCCCACGUUAAUCCUUCGGUCUUGUGGUGUUGUCUAACCACUUUGAAUAAGGAGAUCAUGUUGGUACACAAACUCUGCUCUUUCUGGACCAGCAACUGUACUGAGCUUCUCACAUAAGACACGAUGUCAUCCACAUCUGAUCACUUUUUCUCGACUCUCUAGUAAACCUUCAAACCUCAACAAUUCAAAAUUUCUGACAGUUCUUAGCAGUCUUUACUCUAACACUGAUCUGACAACUACAAACACUGAUUACUGAGCUGACUCUGGGCUGUAAUCUUUCUUCACUUUCUUUUCACCACUGAAAUUCUGUACCCUCUGCUAUACACUGCUUAAGAAAGAAUUCUCUGAAAACUUGGCCAAAUUUAUAAUCUCUGAUCUAGAUUUGAAAUAUAAUCCAUCCCCGGCACUCCAUGCCGGUGAAUUAUCUGAUGCACACACACUUCGGUAUAUCCAUUCUGUGACAUGACAGAAUCUUCAAUUUCUGAAAUCGAACUUAGAUUGGCGGUUAAUUUCACUCUGACACGCUUUUAGUGUGACCUAGGCUACUGGGUAGUAUUCAGAGCUUUUCUUUUUAGGACAAAUGACCCGUGGUCGAUUUUCUUCGAGCCACAAUGAACCCACUCAACCCAUUGGUGACAAUCGAUUGUCGUGAAAAUCUCAAGGAUUCAAAUACGGACACAGGGUACCGAAACGAUAGAAACAUCAAAUUAGUACCGGUCGAUGAGAAUUUUUUCCAAUUUAGUGGAGUCACCCACGAUCGGUCAUUCAUCUCAAUCGAACCGAUCUAUCUCUAAUUUCAAAUCGAUUUUAUACUGUGCCGCAAUGAUCUCUAAAGAUGAGCACGGUCGAGAAGUCAAUCCCUGGUCGAAUUCUCAAGUCUAUUUGCCUUAAGGUCCUUAAUAACUCACCCAGCUAGUCUAGUUAUCUCAUGAGUGGCCAACUCAGAGAAAAACACUGUAAUCGCAUCGAUGAAAUGCCCAAUUUAUCUAAUCGAAACCAGAGUCGAAAUCUAGAUCACACACUCAAAACAAGAUAUAUUCGUACUGUACCAAAGUGGACCAACUCCAUCUAUCGAUCAACCACUAUUCUCAAAUGGUAUCAGUAAUUCCCUGAAUCCUUAGUAAGCCAUAUAUUUCCAUUUCCACUUGGGACUCUCGAGUGAUGCUAAAAUCUUCCGGAUUUGCAUUACUGAACUUCCACUUACUGACACCUUUGACACUUGCAACCUGCUUGGCGAUAUCUAUCUUCAUAUCGGUCUACCAAUUUAGCUGACGUCGAUUCUGACUUAUUUGCACCAUCUGGUCAAAACUGUGAUACUAUAGUGAACUUCUGACAAGAUCUUUUCCCUAAGUGUUACACUGUCAAGUGCACUCAAUCACUCAUGGAACCCGAACUUUCCAUCCUCAGAAAUCUUAAAGUCAAUAUCUUUCUUACUAGUAUUCUCUUAUAAGAUUUUCUGCACAUCUCUGCUUGUCAACUAGGCGCCGAUUCUAACUUGAACAUUUGGUUCAAUUUUGAGGGCGGCUAUAAAAUUUAAAAGGUAGCCUACCUCAAAUUUGAAAACCAAAUUUCGAACCCUUUUUAAGUAAAGUUUAUACUUUAGCCAGCCUAUGUAUAAUCGAAGACUCUCGGCUCAACACAUAAAUUACUUCUUUCAUUCUCCCAAGAUAAUACCAGAUAACAUCAUUAUAGUUCUGCCAAAAUUCUGAUUCACGACACUGUUUCAUGUUCAACUUGUUGGGUCUCAACUGGCGGGACGGUUAUACAACAAUCUUCUCAUGUUGUAUCAAUACAUACCCAGUCGUUGGUAAGACACAUCACUAAAGAUUUCAUGCUUUCCAGAGUCAAAUGAAAAGUUUAGCACAAGUGCGUAGCUUGAUCUUACUGAAGCUCUGAAACUUAUCCUCGUACUUGUCUAUGCCAAUGAAUUUNNNNNNNNNNNNNNNNNNNNNNNNNNNNNNNNNNNNNNNNNNNNNNNNNNNNNNNNNNNNNNNNNNNNNNNNNNNNNNNNNNNNNNNNNNNNNNNNNNNNGAUGAUACUGAUGCUGAGAUUCUUUCACAAACCUUCCGUAGUAAUCUGUCCAAUCCCCACAACUUCUGAUCUCUGACAUUGAUGUCGGUCUCGGUCCAUUAACAACUUAUUCGAUCUUGGUUGGGUCCAUGAAGAUUCCUUUACCUGUAACCACACGACCAUUCUUAGGGGCAUCUCGUGAUUCUCAACACUUAAUGAACACCCUAUAAUGUCGCUACACCACACGAUCACCAUUGAUCUAGAUAUUCUUUGAAUACUCGGUUUGUCAAAUCUAUGACAACGGCUGGAGCGUUCGUUAUAUCAAAUGGCUUUACAUUAUUCUCACAAGGGCUAAAUCAAGUGCGAAAUGUUGUCUUCAGUAUAACCUCAUUUCUGGUUCUCAACUGACGAUAACCUGUCCUCAAGUCGAUCCUUGAAGACAUUAACACUCUUUAUAACAAGUCACCCAAUUAAGUUGACAAUGGUUGAUGCAUGAUUGCAAUGAACCAUCUUCAUUUCUCUUUCCACAAAACUGAUGUUCCUUAAAGCGAUGCACUAAUAUGCAUGAAUUCCUCAUUCAUCAAUCCUCACACUUGCAUAAUUGGUUCUAUCAAUUCAGGCAACAACAACCGGUAAGAAACUUUAGAGAAUGGUUCUGUUCCAGGUGCUAGCUUGAUCGUAAAUUCUAUCUCACUUAUUGACAAUAGGCCUGACAAUCCUUCUGGCAACACUUCCAGAAAUUCUUGGACUACUGAGGAGUCCUCAAUUUUCAAUUCUUCAAUCUGUCUUAUUUUUGACAAUUGUCAAGUAACCUAGGCAACCUCCAUCUAACAAACGGAUUGCCUCAAGUGACGAGGUUAAAGAAGUCAAGAACCCUUCUCGACUCUCAAUAAAACUUGGCACUUCUACCUGCUCCUGGAAUAAACUGGGUUAUUCCACUAUAACAAUUCAUCACUACAAAAUGCUCCAGAGCCAAUUCUUUCCACACUUAACGAUAGAGUUGUACACCAACAGCCAAUCGAGUACAACUCUAGUCAAUGGUUCUUCUCCUACAGCCUUAACAAACAACUGAAAUUCCACACUUGCAAUCCCAACAUUCUCUGGCACUAUUCUGAUAAAAUCACCUCAAAACAUUCUUUCAUUGAAUAAGGCAUGGUCGGUUCCGUUCCUGUUCCUUUUGCCAUCUUGCUGGCGUUCUAACGGUAGUAACAGUUGUCGAGAUUCCAUCUACUUAUGCAGAUACCACAUAGUUCACUAUCCGUACUGGCGAUACUUAUCACAAUUUCCUGUCCUCAAAAUACAUGAGACUGAUCCAUACCAUCUUCCUUGUAACACAUCUUCCACGGAACACAUGUUCCAUUUGUCUGAAUACUGACUUGACUAUGCCGCCCUUCCUAUUGGGUGGAAUAGAAUACUUUUCUCUCGACCUCGGUCUUUCCUCUGACCGAUUUCCAUUUCUACCUGAAUUGGAUCUGUACCUUGACUUGGAAGCGAUGGCUCGAUUCCAGAUCAUAUCCCCACUCUAGAUCUCAACAGGUGUAGCAACAAAGGCGCUUGCAACACUAACGGCAGUAGAGAUAGCGACAACGACAACGGCUUGAUCCUGAGCUUACUGGCUCAUCCAGUUCCCAAGGAACACUUGCAUCAGAACGAUCCUGUCGAACUUAGGAUCAUUCGACGCUGCUACACUAGUACCAACCUGCAGUGGUACUCUUACACUCGAGCUAGCUAGAGCCGACACUCUGCCACAACCACCUCGGGUACCGACCUUUGUCAGUGCAUUAUCCCGAGUCACAGAGGACAUUGUCCUCUUACUAGGAGUUCUCAGCUCCUGCUCGCUCAUGGUUCAGUCUUUACACUGAAACCCGUCUUCCACAUCCACACUGGAUUAGAAGAUGAGCGAUCCUCACACGACAAUCAAUUCUAACAUCCAGCUCACACAGACAUGCACCAGCAUGAAUUUAAAGGCCUUUCCUACUAACUAUCCCAUGGUCAACGCUCCUUAUCACUCCAAUCUUCAACUUCGCUCUGAUACCACUUAAACUGGAUGUCACGCCCCGAUCCUCGGGCACGCACACAUCCUUCUCAUUCUGGUCAAUUUUAUAAUGCGAUAUCCCAGGACAAUGUAUCGCCGACCCUUUCAUUUAUUAAGCACAUGCGGAAGCAGUUAAAAUCCCCAAACAAUAAAAAGAUGGGAUAGAAAAGCAGGGCCAUAUUUUUCAUAUUCAAAUUUAUAACCAAACUUUUAUACAAAACACAAACCAAAGUACUUCACAACUUUUUACUCUAUUUCUAUUCACAUCAAAUUAGAGAUCUCAAAAGAAGAUAGAAUCUCAGUCCAUCCGGAUCAUAUUUGAGACUCCUCUCAGUAUUAUCUUCUUCUUUCAAAAAUCCUUCUCCUCAAGUUUCACCUCUGAGUUCUCCUUCUCAGACUCCUCCUCAUCAGCUCCUCAUCGGGAUCCUGAAAUGUUUUUCCCCAAACUGGGAUGAGACUAUGUCUCAGCGAGUUCUACCCCACUAAGCCCGAUUAGUAAACCAUUAUACUAUAGGCUGCCUAUACACGCAUAGGGUAGAAGACGUACCUUGGCAUCAGAUCUCCCCUGCAAGUCAGUACAAUUCAUAAUAGGCACCCAGGCAAUCAUAUCACCGAUCGAAGCAUCGAUCAAAUCGACCUAGUCGAUUACAAGCCAACAAGACCACUCACGGUCAUUCCCAUUCAGUCAAUUAAUUCACGACGUCAAAUCAAAGCGAUGAUCAAUCGACCUAGUCGAUUACAUGUCAUCACGACCCAUGCUCGGUCGGCAUAUUCAAUACUAUCUAUAAAGUCCUAUCAAAUCAGGACUGCUCACCCAAAGCUGAUAAAUAGAUAGCAUAGCUCGCCCAAAGCUGAUAAUAAGGUAUACUGCUCACCCAAAGCUGGCAUAUCGCCCGAAGGCCGAUAUAGUAUACCGGUAUAUUGCUCACCCAAAGCUGACAUAUCGUCCGAAGGCCGAUAUAGUAUACCAUAUGCUCACCCAAAGCUGAUAAUAUAUUGCUCGCCCAAAGCUGAUAAUAAGGUAUACUGUUCACCCAAAGCUGACAUAUCGCCCGAAGGCCGAUAUAGUAUACCGGUAUACUACUCACCCAAAGCUGACAUAUUGCCCAAAGGCCGAUAUAGUAUACCAUAUCCACCGUCCAAUAUUCUCAUUAUUUUUAUCAUGCCCGAUAAAAUAGUCGUGUGGAUACACGAUCGGCUUUAGCCAAAAUAUUAUAAUUUCCUUUUUCAUAAUUCCCACCAUUCUCUAUAGCCCACCAAAACGCUUUUGGUGCUGUCAACCGACACCCGGUUAUUUUCCAAUUAAUAAUCAAAGAUUAUUCCAUUAAAGGAUAAUUCUCAAUUUCACAAAUAAUUCAAUUCAACACAAACUACAACUCGAUUAAAUAAACGAACUGCACCAUGACAAUCGGCACGAAAUUUCGGUCGUCGGCCAUCUCAAUCUUAAUUUCUGAAAAAUAAUUAAUUAAUUAAUUAAUUCGAAAAUUAAUUAUUAAAUCUUAAAAAUUCCAUUUAGCUCAAAAUAAGGCCCAAUUAAAUAAACGGACUGCAUCACGGUCAUCAGCAUAAUAUUCCGGUCACGGGCCAUCCCAGUUGAAUUUUCGGAAAAUAAAUAAAUAAUUAAUUAAUUUCGAAAAUUAAAUAAUUAAUAUUAAAAAUUCAAUUUAGCUCAAAAUAAAGCCCGAUGAAAUAAACAGACUUCACCACAGUCAUCAGCAUAAUAUUCCGGUCACGGGCCAUCCCAGUUGAAUUUUCGGAAAAUAAAUAAUUAUUUAAUUUAAUUCCGAAAAUUAAUAUUUAAAUGCCCAAAAAUCUCACUUAGGCCCGAAUCGCCAAAUUGAAGCCCGAUUAGGGGUCGGAAAAUUCCCGAGAUGCUUCCAAUAAAUAGUAGACCACGUAUACUUGUUAAUUGCGCAAUCAAUUUAUCUAAAUCGCAUCACAAUUAACUAAUAAUUGCUAAUUUAUUCUAAUCUAACAACCUAAACAUAAUUAAUUAAAACUAAACCAACCUUAAGCAUAAUUAGCCAACUAAUCCAGGAUUAGUGAGAUUACUCACCAAAUCGCGCGCAAAUUGGAUCAAUCCGACGGCGGCGGCGCGAGGAACGAAACUUCCCAAAGCACGGCUCGGGUUCGGGGCCCGGAAACGGCCCAAAACGAGCCUUGAACAGGGCUGGAAACCCAUUUUUCCAGCCACUGUUUUUGGCUGGACGAAGCUCGUCCGGCGGCUAGGGCGGCAAGGGGAGGCCGGCGGAGGGCGAGGGGAACGCCGGGGAGGUCCGGCGAAGCUGCGCGGUGGCCGGAGGAGGUUGGGCGGCGGCUGUAGGUGGCCGAUCCGCGGCCCGAGCUGGUCGAACAGCUCCCUGGGCACAUGAGUAGAGACCAACAGCGCACGGCCAGUAGCGGCACGGGAGGACGACAACUCGGCAGUGAACGGCGGAGGGCGGUGGCGUCGCGUACGUCGCUAGCUGUUCCGGUGUUCAUCCCAAAUCUGCUGGGACCUCGAGUAGUGCCAAGGAGAAGAAGAAAUCGACACCAGCAGAAGGGGAAGAGGAAGGCGGAGGGCGUUCGAGCGGCGGCAGAGCACGCGAGCAACGCGCGGGCGGCGACGGUGCUCCGGCGCGACGGCGAGCUGCUGUCUUCGUUUCUGCUUCUGCUCGUUGGUCACACGGAGAGGGAGAAGAAGAGAGAUGUCGAGAGAGUGAGGGAGUCCAGAGAGAGAGAGAGUUAGAGAUAAGAGAGAGUGAGGGUUUGAAAAGUCAAAAGUGAAAAGGUGGAGAAAGCCAAGUUGAAGACAGCCGUGUAUUCGGUGGGAAGGGGGCAUUUCGCACGAGGGGGAAAAGGAGAGAAGGAGAGAGAGAGAGAGAGUGAGAGAGAGAGAGAGAGAGAGAGAGAAAGAAGGAAAGAGAAACUUGUGGGAAAGUUAGGUGUUUGGUCAAAUGGGGUAAAAAGAAAUGGGAAUCAAUUCAAAAGAAAAUAAUUCCCUCAAAUAGAAAAUUCUUAAUUCAUUUUUUUCUUUUGAAUAAGCUGGUUGAUUCCCAAAAGAAAUUUCAGAUUAUAGAACUCGGUUCCCACUUGCAUUUCUGCAUCAAUUUUCCCUCUUUAAUUUCUCUCAAAUGACUCUCAUAAAAUCAAUUGAUGUCUCACUUAUCAAAUUGAUUAUUUUCCUUAUCCAAGAAUUCCCUCAUGCUUCUCAAUUUCACAAUCUCCGGCUUCAACUGAACGAAAACGGCCAUAUUUAUCCAGUCAAAAUUAAAACCCGAAAAUCUGGAUGUCACAAUGUCCAUCUUCCUUCCUAUUUGAAGAGAUGUUUUGCUUAUUGUGCGGUAUUUCCCAAGGAUUACGAAAUUGAGAGGGAUGAGUUGGUACUCUUAUGGAUAGCAGAGGGACUUUUAGAUGUGCAAAAAGCAAAUGAGAAUAUCUUGAAAUUGGGACGAAAGCACUUUGAUGAGUUAGUAUCCAGGUCAUUUCUUCAACAAUCAAGUAUCGACACAUCUAAGUUUUCAAUGCAUGAUCUUUUGAAUGAUCUGGCAAAGUCAAUUUUGGGUGGGACUUGCUUUAGCUUGGGGGGGUCUUAGGUGGCAAGUAACGAACAUGAUGUAUCAUCUCUUGAAAAAACUCGUUAUGCAUCAUUCAUCCCAUCACGGUAUGUUACAUCAAAAUGCAUGAAACCAUAUCAAGGAAUGAAGGCACUAAGAAGUUUAAUUAUGGUGCAUGAUGGAUCUAGUAGGGUCUCUUUCUCUAUUUCCAACAAGGUGCUGCAUGACUUGCUAACAAACUUGAAGUACUUGAGAGUAUUCUCGUUAUGUCGUUGUGACAUCAUAGAGGUACCGAAUUGUAUUGGUGAUUUAAAAUAUCUUCGAUAUCUCAAUUUCUCGUACACUCAUAUCGAGAGGCUAACUGAGUCAAUUGGCACCUUGUGCAAAUUACAAGCUCUAAUUUUAAGAGGUUGUCAAGAGCUUUUAAAGUUGCCUCAAGGUAUCACAAAGUUAGCCAGUUUACAGUUUCUUGAUAUUAGAGAUACAAGGAAUCUAAAAGAGAUGCCAUUGAGUAUCGGUAAUUUAAAGAAUCUUAUUAUGUUGUCCAAAUUUGUGGUAGGACUUGAGAAAGGGUCGCAAUUGAAAGAGUUAAAGAACUUGCCACAUAUUGAAGGAGAAUUAUUCAUAUCAUAAUUGCAAAAGGUGGAAAAAGUUAUAGAUGCAGUUGAUGCUGAUUUGCUUCAAAAGCUAGGCCUUACCAACUUAUCCUUGCAUUGGGGUGAACAUUUGGGAGAUCUCCAUAAUCAUGAGCGCGAAGCACAGGUGCUUGACUCUUUGCGACCUCACACUAAUCUUGAAAAUCUCGCUAUUUUGAACUAUCAUGGUGCAAUAUUCCCAUCAUGGUUAGAUUGUACAUCCUAUUCUAAAAUAGUGUCUUUAUGCUUGUGGGACUGUCCUAAUGUUAUGUCGAUGUCUAUGAUUGGACAACUACCUUCACUCAAGGAAUUAUCUCUUAAAGGUCUACAUGCAAUAAGAAUGAUAGGCUCUAAAUUUUACGGAGGUAAAAGGCCUUUUUCAUCCUUAACCACUUUGAAGUUCGAAGAGAUGUUGGCAUGGAAGGAUUGGUCUCCUUAUGUUGGGCGCCCAAAAGAAGAAGUCACAUUCUCCUGUCUUAAGCAUCUUGUUGUUUAGAAUUGUCCUUUGUUGGUCGGGACAUUGCCUUGUCAACUUGAUCAUCUCACAAAGAUUGAAAUUUAUUCAUGUCCGCAUUUGAAAAACUCAACCAAUGAUGUUUGUCUUCCAUCUCUCCAUGAGUUGUUCUUUGAGGAUUGUAACAAAGAGAUCUUGAAGAGCUUGAUCAACCUAACUUCUUUGACCAUUCUUACAAUUAAGAAUCUUGCAGAGCUUGUUUGCUUUGAUCAUGGGUUUAUGAGCCACUUGAUCAAGCUAAAGGAGCUUCAUAUAGAAGGGUGUGACCAAUUAAAAUACUUGUGGCAAGAUGGAAAUGAAAUACUAAAUCUUACUUGCCUCCAGGAAUUAACCAUCGUAAGCUGUCCUCAGUUCACAUCAUUCGUGGCAGCAGAAACAAAAAUAGAGCUGCCAUGCAACCUUGACAAGAUGAAAUUGAGGCAUUGUAGCAGUUUAGAAAAACUUCCAAGCAAGAUGUACACACUCAGUUAUUUAUCUAUUGAAUGGUGUCCAAAACUCUUAAGACCAACCAUUUCUUCAUAUGACCCCAACAGUAACAACCCAAUGUCUCAACUUCAAUCUUCAUGUACAGGGAAAUGUGAUUCUCUGACAUUUGGUCCCUCUGUCAAGGGUAGACUUGCUACUCUGAAGAAAUUUGUUAUUCAAAACUGUGAGGGAGUGGAAUCGGUGGAAGAAAUCACCAUAGAAUCACUCAAAAAUAUGGGAAUUUACAAUUGUCCGAAUCUAAGAAACCUACCACAAUUCCUUCACACACUCUCCCAUCUCACUCUAUUGAGUAUAAGUGAUUGUUGGAUAGAGGAAUUUCCUCUCCUUCCCCUCACCCUAUCGGAGCUUACACUUGCGAGAUGUCCGAACAUAAAGUCUAUCACCAAUAUCACUAGUUGUAACAAUCUCACUUCUUUGGAUAUAAGUGUGUGCCAGUCAUUGGAAAUAAUAGAUUCCCUUCCCCUUCCCAUCACCCUGACGUAUGUCUUUCUCUCUAAUUGUCUGAAGAUAAAGUCUCUACGAAAGUUGUGACAUCCCGAUUUUUCAAUUCUGGUUUCAAUUAAAUAAGUCGGGCAUUUCAUCUUCGCGUCUGUAGCUUUCUUCUCUGAGUUGGCCACUCACGAGAUAACUAGUAUAUCAGGUGAAGCCGUUAAGGAAUCUAAACGCAAUAGACUUGAGAAUUCGACCAUGAAUCGGCUACUCGACCGCAUUAAUCUGCAAGGAUCAUUACAACACUGUCAGAAUUGAACAGAGAUCAGUAAUAGGUCGAUUCGACUAAGAUAUGUGAUUAGAGUGUGGGUGAUUCCACCUGAUCGCAAUAUCCUCGUCGACCGGCACUAGACCGAUUCUUCUGUUGUUUUGGGUACCCUAUGUCCGUAAUCAAAAUCUCGAGAUUUCUACGACAAUUGAGAGUCGCCAAGGUGUCGAAGAUGCACUUUGUGGCUUGAGAAUAAUCAACCACAGGUCAAUUGCACAGAAAAUUCCUAAAAGCUACCCGGUAGAUUAGGACGCGCUAAAGUCGCGCCAGAUUGAAUUUAACAGUGAAAUUGAACCCGAUUACAGAAAUUGGAAGUUCUGUCAAGUCACAAUUCAUUUUAGGAAUGUCGACUCAUCUCUAGGAGAUUUUUCUACAAACCGAGAUUUCUGGCGGAAAAAGCAAAGUAAGGCCGUUUAUGUUCGGGAUUGUCAGAGGGCCAUUUUCAAUCGAAUCUUCGAGAUGCAAGUUGGAUCAUUUGAUGGGGAAAUGUCAUGAGAAGGCCGAUGACACAUGGGUUAAUUUAAUUGAGCUUCAAUUGGAUGGAAUUGAUUGAGAAUUGAUUGAAUUAAGUGUACAAGAUUUUAUGCCACGGCGGAAAAUGAAAUUGAACCCAUUGGAAUGAGGUUGUGGGAGAUAGUGGAAGGUGACAUCAUCCAUGAGGUCAUGGUGGGCCAUGAGAGAGAGAAAAGUGGUCCCAUCUUCCUUCUCUCUCCUCCCUCUCUCUAUUCGGUUGCCUCUCUCCUCCCUUUCCCUACCGUGCGACCAUUUCCUCCUCUCUCGAUCUUCAUCUUCUUCUUCGAAAGCCCAGCAGACCAGUGAACCAAAGCAGCUCCGCCCGUCGCCGUUCGUCCCAGCCGAAGGCUGUCGCUCGUCUAGCCCGCACGCCUCCGUUUCCUUCUCCCUCUCUCGUCAAAGCUCUUUCUCCCCCAUCUCCUUGUUGCUCGAAGGACCCAGCAGCGAACCAGAGAAGCCCCGUCCGUCGCCAUCUGCCGUCCUGUCCCCGGAGCGGUCGAAGUCGCCGUCGCUCGUAGUAGCAAGCCCGCUCGUGCAAGCUGCUCCAGCCGCGUGGUCUUGGAUGUCCGUGCGUCCGAGCUGCUUCUGUCCGUCUUCGUUGAAGCUAGCAGGAGCUCCAUCGUCGUCGUCAGCCAACCUCCGUCGCCCUUGCUCACCGGAGCCUCCCGUCCGACCUUCCCUUCGCCAUCCCAAGCAGACGAAGCCAGCAACCGUGCGCCUGCUCGUCCCUGCUGUUCCGCCAGUCCAGCAGCCAUUCCAGAACUGGGGAAGCUCCGCCGGAGCCGUCCAGCCCACCUCCGGCCUCCGUGAAGCCCCGCUUAGGUCCGGUUUGGUCUCCCCCAUCCAUCUAGGCCCUUGUGCGCCUCAACCGGUGCCGGAUCCGCCCUCAACCAGCAAUGGACAGAAGCUGGAAAAAUGGGUAUCACAAUGAAGGUUUGGCCCGUUUUGGCCAACUUCCCGACCCCGGAAGCUAGGCCCGCCUUGGAGACUAUCGACCCUCGCAUCGUCCUUGUCGUUUUGAGCCGUUCGGCUCGUUAAUCGGGUGAGUUUAUCCUCUAAUUCUUGCUUAGUGAGUUAAUGACGCUUAAGGGGUGUUUAGAUUAGUCUAAUUAGGUUUAUGUGAUUAAAUUAGAUUAUUUUAAUGUAAAUUAGAUUAGUUGUAUGAUUAGUUUAAUGGAUGUUUAAUUAGGGCUAAUUGUANNNNNNNNNNNNNNNNNNNNNNNNNNNNNNNNNNNNNNNNNNNNNNNNNNNNNNNNNNNNNNNNNNNNNNNNNNNNNNNNNNNNNNNNNNNNNNNNNNNNNNNNNNNNNNNNNNNNNNNNNNNNNNNNNNNNNUAAAUUUAAUUAUUUAAUAAUUUCGAAAAUUAUGCCGGGAUGGCCGGUCGUUAGAAUUUCGCGCUGAUCGCAGCAGUGCGGUCGGUUUGUGUUAAUUGUAUGUUUAAAUUGAGAAAUUGAGUGAUUAAUGAUUAUGGUUAAUAAUUCCAAAAGUGUUGAAUUGAGUGAUAUUGAUGAAGUUGUGGUAUUUAACUUGAAAAUACCCGGUGUUGGCUUUUAGCACCAUAAUUGGUUUGUAUGACUAGUUUGAAUCGUUGGUUGUUAUUGGAUUAAAUAUCCAGUUCUAUGGUUUAUUAUUGAAUGAUCAGCUUUGGCGAGCAUUUGUUUAUAUAUAUGUAUCAGCUUGGGCGAGCAAUUAUGAUAUACAUAUAUAUAUGGCAGCUUCUGGUGAGCUAAGAUCGUUUUAUCAGCUUGUGCGAGCACGAUCUAUCUAUACAGCUUGUGCGAGCUAUCUAUCAGUUACAGCUUUGGUGAGCUAUCUAUCUAUAUAGCUUGUGCGAGCUAUCUAUCAGUUACAGCUUUGGUGAGCUAUCUAUCUAUACAGCUUGAGCGAGCUACCGUCUAUAUAUUACAGCUUUGGAGAGCAUGUGUCGUAUUAACGACUGGUUUGAUAGACGGUAUUGAAUGAUAGAUAGUAAUGGUUGAUAGAUAGUACGGAUUGAAAUGGAAAGAUAGAUAGUAUGAUGGAAUUGAAUCAUUGCGAAUGAUUGGAUUGAUUGAAUUGAUAGACCGAUGGGUGUGUCGGUAGUUUCAGCUUGUGCGAGCAUUGUUUGAAUAUGAAUUGUACUGACAUGCAGGAAAGGACUGAGGCGAGGUAAGUCAUCUAUCCUAUUUGUGUGGCUAGAGCGCCCUGAGGCGUAUUUUCUUCCUAAUUGAGUUUUAGAGGGUAGGACUCACUGAGACGUAGUCUCAUCCCGGUUGUGGGAUAAUAUUUCAGGUCCCUAGAUGACGGUCGUGGAAGACCGGAAGUCCUGGAGUUCGGAAGGUGGAGGUUGAAGAAUCAGUGAACGUGUCUGACAAGUUGGUCAUAGGGCAGUUCCCUAGUUGUUGAGCCUGUCUAUUUUGUAGACAAUCCAAUGUUGUAUAUAAACCUAUGUGUUUAUAAGAAAGAUUGUUUGGUUGUGAUUGAUUGCCUGCUUUUCUAUCCCAAGUUAAAUGUUGUCAGGGGAUUUGUUUCGCUUCCGCAUGUGUGUAAUGAAAUGAAUGGGUCGGCGACAUGUCCUGGGAAGUCGCAUUUCUAUCGACCGCAGUGGGAUGUGCGCAUGCUCGAGGUUCGGGGCGUGACAAAAGUGGCAUCAUCUUACAUCCCUCCGGUACAUAUACAUUGUGCGUUGCCAAAAUAUCCAAUGCUUGCCCGAAGGAGGUUUGCCUCCCAAUUUGCAAUCAUGCAAGUUGCCAAAUAUUCAUUGUGAGUGUGAGAAUAUGAAACAAUGGAGCUUACCCCUGAUCACAUCCCUCACAUUUCUAGAUAUUGACUUGAGCUUGGGAAGGGAGGGAGAGAAGGGUUGGUUUCCUUCAAAGGAUGAGAAUGCCUGGAGUCUUCUCUUUCCUUCCUCUCUCACCUCUCUUUGGAUUGGCUAUAUGAGGAAUGUGGAAAGACUAUCAGAUGGCCUUCGCAACCAUCUCUCCUCUCUCCAAGAGUUAAGGUUUAAAGAUUGCCCAAAGUUGAGGGACUUACCAGAGGAUGGCCUCCCUCCCUCCCUCCAACAAUUGCACAUAUGGGAUUGCGAGAUUCUGAAAGAUCGAUGCUCAAAACAUACCAACGACUAUUGGCCCCUCAUCCAAGAGAUCCCUUACAUCAGGAUUGAUUGGGUUCGGAUUCAAUGAAUUGAUUUGUCCUGGUACGGUCAGGUUUUCUAGGGUUUGGGUAAGUUUAUGGUUUCCAAGGCAUCGAUUUCCCAUUCUACUUCCUCAAUUCGAUGUGUUACGCAAACUGAUUUUCCCUUCAUGCAGAUGUCUCACAUAAAUUUCUAGGAAAAUCCAAGAGAUCCUUGACAUGCGCAAUGAUUGGUUUCGAAUCUGGUGAAGCGAAAUUGAUCCGCUUUUGCUUUCAUUUGCUGACUGCCGCGAUUCAUCCUUCGAUGUGCCGUCAGUUUUCUAGGGUCCAGGUAAGCUUUUUAGUUUUGAAUGAAUCAAUUGCGUUUCUGUUCUUCAAUUCAAUGCUUUGUGCGAAUUAAUUUUUUCCCAUGGAGAAGUGUCGCAUAGAAUUUCCAGAAACCGUCGUAUCGUGAACUACAACUAAAAUUCAAGGCUGAAAGAAUGAUAUUUAGUUGCCUAUCCAGGCAAGAGCUUCCUUUAGUCUCCAAUUGCAUUGCUUGCAGAAGUUGAUGAUAUCCUCGUAUGUCACUACUGCAUCCAUCUUAUCUAUUGCCUUGGGCCUGUCUUUUUCUUUAGCCACUGCAACGCUCUUUUGACUGGUAAGUAAUUCAUCAUUAUCUGCAGGCGGCCGUCUCCCCUAUUUCAUUUAUGGCCUCAAUCCCAGCAACAACAUGUUAUGUAAGACCCCGUCUCAGUUAAUAUUCAUGAAACCUAGCUCAGGUUUACUCCACACACCCUGCCUUUCAUCCACCUUAUCAUGACUCAGCUUACAUUUUUAUCGGCAACACACUCCAAAUAUACCAAUAGGUCUAGGCAAUCAUUCUUAGGAGUUAUCAGCCUGUACCAAUCAUUCAAUUUCAUGACCUCACAUUUGUAGAAUAUUAGCCCAUGCCAACAAGUCACCGUCACCCGUGAUUGGUGGUCUCCUGUACUUGUAAGGUAACAAAAUCACAACAAUUUUUCAGCGGAAAAAAAAAAAUUAUCAAGAGGGUAUCCCGGUUCAUUUUUGGUUGCUGUCAAUUGGGUAUGCAUAUAAUUUUGUUCUGAUCACUCUAAGCAGGAAAGUUGAUUUUUAUUCAGGACUAAUUGAUAGUCCUGUUUCAGAUUUUUGGAUGAUAUAUAUGAGGAAUGUGGAAAGGCUAUCAACAGGGGAGGAUGUAAGAAGCGUGGAAUAUUUUGUUUCAUUGAUCUCUACGUCUCUUUGAAUGAGAACUAGGUGGAACAUGGAAAGAUUAUCAAGUUGUCUUCGCAGCCAUCUCUCCACUCUUGAACAGCUACAUUUUAUAGGUUACUGGAAUUUGCCAAAGGAUGGCUUCGUUCCCUCCUCCAAGUAUUAAGCAUAAUUCACUGUGAAUUUCUGAAAGAUUGAUGCUCAAAACUCAGUGGCGACUAUUGGCACCUCAUCCAAGAAAUCCCGCUCAUUGUAGUUGAUCAAAUUCAGAUCCAUUAAGAAGAUAUCUAUCCAAUUUCUAAUUUUUGCUCUUCAGGUAUUGAUUUGGACUUCUUUCUUUCUUGCACACUUAUUGUUUAGCUACUGCUGCUGCUCCAGGAUCCAUUUCUAUUUCAAAUCCUCAAUUUGAUGCUAAAAGGUUCAGGUUUUUCCAUGGACAAGCUUCUCCUAAAUUUCCACAAACCAACUGCUGAAGGUCCAAUGUUGACAAGGAAAUGGUUAUAAUUCUAAUGUGGUACAGCAAGUCAACCAACCAUUGCUUUGUACAAGUGACAAUUCCUCAAAACAAAAAAUACUUACAUGGACUUGUUUACAGUGCUGGAAUUAUAAUGUGUGUAUGUGUCUGUUCGUAUUGAUGAUAUAUCUUGAACUGUUUGAUGGCCAAAAAUUGCUUAUCUUUCCACUUAUGGAAAUGCACUAUGCUUUACGUGAGAAUCAUGAAGAAUUGUUGCCCUUAUAUUGUUAUCUGUCCACAACUUCAGUGUUUGUUAUGUUUUCUCUUCCAAUUAUCUUUUUUUAAUUUUUUAUAUACUAGUUCAGUGACCUGAAUUCUCUCAAUGGUUAUUGUUUUGUAGAAUACCCCAUUGUCAUCUUUAUUUGGCAAAAUUUCUCAGGAGGAUCAAUGCGAAUAGUGCCGAGGGAGGCGACUGAUGUGCUUAUGUUCAUCUUUUACAACUUGACAAAAGAACAACAAAAGGCUAUUUAUUAUUGGUAGGCGUACUACUAUGCUCUGAACUUCUUCUUUUUUGCGACAUGCUCUCAAAGAUUAAUCUGUAUCAGGAUGUCAAUUAUUGAGGUCUAUAUUCAUAGUCAAACGAAGAAGCUUCCUUACUUCCAACAACGGCAGCUUCUGUAAGGAUGCAAAAAAUAGGAUUUAAAACGGGUGUAUUCGAGUUGGCAAAUGUGACAAUUAAAUUUGAAUGAACCCUGCAGAUUAUAAGCCAUUCAAAUAUGACUUCCUUGUCAUAGUUCAUGGUUCAUCUUUCUAUUCAAAUUCCCACACUAUCUCAGAGCACAUUUUCUUUCUUUGUUGUCAAGGAAAGGCGGGAAGGAGCAAUAAGGAAGAGUAUGAUCUGUCCGAAUUCUGGAGAUAUCUCUAUGCGAGAUUCUGAAAGAUUGAUUCUCAAAACUGACCGGCGACUAUUGGCCCCUCAUCCAAGAGAUCCCUCUCAUCUACAUUGGUGGUGUUCGUAUCCAAUAAUUGAAAUUGAUCACACCCAAGCCAUGACAAAAGAUUUAUCUCCACUGACUACUUUUCCUUCUUUAGGUAAUUGUUAUCUAUUCUUUUGCUUCCAUUUACCAUCUGCUGCAAUUCACUGUUCCACCUAAAGUCAGCUUUCUAGGGUUGGGGUCAGUUUUUGGGUUUGAAGGCAUCAAUUUCUAUUAUGUUCUUAUGUUCAAUGCUUAACACGAAUUGAUUUCUUUCCAGGGAGGUGUUUUUCAAAGAAUUUCCUGAAACCAGCCAACAAAGGUCAGAGACUGACAUUCGAGUGUGUCGUGUGUGUCCUUGAUGGGGUUUUUUCUUUUUAGGCCAACUAAAAUUUGGAGCUGUAAAAUGAUCUUUAGCUUCUUGAAUCCCAACAGGAGCAUCCUUUAGUCUUGAAUUGCGCUGCUUGGAAAAAUUGAUGAUAUCCUUGUAUACCACGGCUACAUUCAGCUCCUCUAAUACCUUGGUUUAGCAUUUUCUUUAGCUACUGCAAUGCUCUUUGAACAGCAAGUAAUUCAGCCUUCUUUGCAGAUCUAGGCAUCACCACACCCCUGCAAGCAAUCAUCUCCUGCCUUUCAUUUUUGGCCAUAAUCUUGACAACAGCAUGUCUGGUUCCUUCAAUGUAAGACCCAUAAUAGUUAAUCUUCGCAAAACCUAGCUCAGGUUUACUCUACACACCCUGCCUUUCGUCCACCCAAUUAUGACCCAGCUCUCUUACAUUUUUACAGGAUACACAAUCUUAAAGAGCUUUUUUUAAUCUGUAUAAAUGACAUUUUCAGGAUCAGGUGAAUUGUUGUUAAAGAUUACUGCAUAUUAAGCAUUCCAGAUAUACCAGCAGGUGUAGCCAAUCAUUCUUAAGCAUUAUGAGCCCAUAUCAAGUCAUUUGAUCUCCUGACUCACAUUUGUAGAAUAUCAGCCAGUACCAAUAUGUCACCAUUACCAGUAAUUAGUGGUCUCUUAUACUUGUCAGUUAACAUCAUCAUAAGAGUUUUCUAGCAAAUCAUCAACAUGGUAUCCCGGUUCAUUUUUUGUUGCAGUUAAUUAGGUGUGCGUAUAAUUUUGUUCUGAUCACUCUUGUAGUUGUUCAUCAUGCAUGAAAGAUAACUUUUAUUCGGGAGUAAUUGCUCAUCCUGUUUCAGACUUUUGGAUGAGAAAUAUGAGGACUAUGGAAAGACUAUCAACGGUGGAGGAUAAGAAGCAUGGAAUAUUCUGUUUCCUUCAUCUCUAAUUUCUCUUUGGAUGAGAAAUAUGAGGAAUGUGGAAAGCUUAAGUGGUCUUCGCAGCCAUCUCUCCUCUCUCAAACGGCUAUCCUUUAUAGGUUACCGAUACUUGCAUAAGAAGAUUUCUCUCCAAUGUCUAAUUUUUAUUCUUCAGGUCAUGGUCCAUACUUCUUUCUUCCACACUCAGUCAUUUAGCUACCGCUGCUGCUCCAGGAUCCAUUUCUAUUACAAAUCCUCA
rnacentral:lncRNA from 1 species